UACGUAGGGGGCGAGCGUUGUCCGGAAUUAUUGGGCGUAAAGAGCUCGUAGGCGGUUCGGCAAGUCACGUGUGAAAUCUCCACGCUCAACGUGGAGGCGCCACGUGAGACUGCUGUGACUCGAGUCCGGUAGGGGAGCGUGGAAUUCCCGGUGUAGCGGUGAAAUGCGCAGAGAUCGGGAGGAACACCCGUAGCGAAGGCGGCGCUCUGGGCCGGUACUGACGCUGAGGAGCGAAAGCAUGGGGAGCGAACAGG
rnacentral:rRNA from 1 species